rnacentral:tRNA from 1 species
GCAGAUAUAAAAGGCAAAUGGAAAUUUGUUUUAGAAAAUCCGACUCCGAAGCAAGUCAAAUUGGUAAUCAGAAGGUCCCGAGUUCGAUUCUUGGUGUCGGCACCA